GGGUUGUGAGGUUAAGCGACUAAGCGUACACGGUGGAUGCCCUGGCAGUCAGAGGCGAUGAAGGACGUGCUAAUCUGCGAUAAGCGUCGGUAAGGUGAUAUGAACCGUUAUAACCGGCGAUUUCCGAAUGGGGAAACCCAGUGUGAUUCGUCACACUAUCAUUACGUGAAUACAUAGCGUAAUGAAGCGAACCGGGGGAACUGAAACAUCUAAGUACCCCGAGGAAAAGAAAUCAACCGAGAUUCCCCCAGUAGCGGCGAGCGAACGGGGAGCAGCCC
rnacentral:rRNA from 1 species